CCUACGGGAGGCAGCAGUGAGGAAUAUUGGUCAAUGGCCGGAAGGCUGAACCAGCCAUGCCGCGUGAAGGUCAGUGCCCUAUGGGCGUUAAACUUCUUUUGUGCGGGAGCAAUAAUGGUCACGUGUGGCCAGACGAGAGUACCGUACGAAUAAGCAUCGGCUAACUCCGUGCCAGCAGCCGCGGUAAUACGGGGGAUGCAAGCGUUAUCCGGAUUUAUUGGGUUUAAAGGGUGCGUAGGCUGUGAGGUAAGUCAGCGGUGAAAUGCCCCCGCUCAACGGGGUGAAGUGCCAUUGAUACUGGCUGGCUGGAAUGCGGAUGCCGUGGGAGGAAGGUGUGGUGGAGCGGUGAAAUGCAUAGAUAUCACACAGAACACCGAGUGCGAAGGCAUCUCACGAAUCCGCGAUUGACGCUGAUGCACGAAAGCGUGGGUAUCAAACAGGAUUAGAUACCCGGGUAGUC
rnacentral:rRNA from 1 species